rnacentral:rRNA from 1 species
GGACGAACGCUGGCGGCGUGCCUAACACAUGCAAGUCGAGCGGAGGGGAUAGGAGCUUGCUUCUUGAACCUCAGCGGCGGACGGGUGAGUAACACGUGGGUAACCUGCCCUUGAGAGGGGGAUAACAGGUCGAAAGGCCUGCUAAUACCGCAUAACGCUAAGAAGCUGCAUGGCGUCUUAGCCAAAGGUUAAUUCCGCUCAAGGAUGGGCCCGCGGCCCCAUUAGCUAGUUGGUGAGGUAAUGGCUCACCAAGGCGACGAUGGGUAGCCGGCCUGAGAGGGUGGUCGGCCACACUGGGACUGAGACACGGCCCAGACUCCUACGGGAGGCAGCAGUGGGGAAUAUUGCGCAAUGGGGGAAACCCUGACGCAGCGACGCCGCGUGAGCGAUGAAGGCCUUCGGGUUGUAAAGCUCUGUCUUCCCUGACGAUAAUGACGGUAAGGGAGGAGGAAGCCACGGCUAACUACGUGCCAGCAGCCGCGGUAAUACGUAGGUGGCGAGCGUUGUCCGGAAUUACUGGGCGUAAAGGGUGCGUAGGCGGCUCUUUAAGUGGGAUGUGAAAUCCCUGGGCUCAACCCAGGAACUGCAUUCCAAACUGGAGAGCUAGAGUGCAGGAGAGGAAAGCGGAAUUCCCAGUGUAGCGGUGAAAUGCGUAGAGAUUGGGAGGAACACCAGUGGCGAAGGCGGCUUUCUGGACUGUAACUGACGCUGAGGCACGAAAGCGUGGGGAGCAAACUAGGAUUAGAUACCCUGGUAGUCCACGCUGUAAACGAUGGGUACUAGGUGUAGGGGGGAAGCCCUUUUUUGGCCCACUAACGCAUUAAAGUACCCCGCCUGGGGAGUACGGUCGCAAGAUUAAAACUCAAAAGGAAUUGACGGGGGCCCGCACAAGCAGCGGAGCAUGUGGUUUAAUUCGAAGCAACGCGAAGAACCUUACCAGGGCUUGACAUCCACCGAACCCUGUGGAAACACGGGGGUGCCCUUCGGGGAACGGUGAGACAGGUGGUGCAUGGUUGUCGUCAGCUCGUGUCGUGAGAUGUUGGGUUAAGUCCCGCAACGAGCGCAACCCUUGCCCUUUAGUUGCCAGCAAUUCGGUUGGGCACUCUAGAGGGACUGCCUGG